rnacentral:rRNA from 1 species
ACGCACGCUGGCGGCGUGCUUAACACAUGCAAGUCGAACGGAGAGGCCCUGCUUUUGUGGGGUGCUCGAGUGGCGAACGGGUGAGUAACACGUGAGUAACCUGCCCUUGACUUUGGGAUAACUUCAGGAAACUGGGGCUAAUACCGGAUAGGAGCUCCUGCUGCAUGGUGGGGGUUGGAAAGUUUCGGCGGUUGGGGAUGGACUCGCGGCUUAUCAGCUUGUUGGUGGGGUAGUGGCUUACCAAGGCUUUGACGGGUAGCCGGCCUGAGAGGGUGACCGGCCACAUUGGGACUGAGAUACGGCCCAGACUCCUACGGGAGGCAGCAGUGGGGAAUAUUGCACAAUGGGCGGAAGCCUGAUGCAGCAACGCCGCGUGCGGGAUGACGGCCUUCGGGUUGUAAACCGCUUUCGCCUGUGACGAAGCGUGAGUGACGGUAAUGGGUAAAGAAGCACCGGCUAACUACGUGC